rnacentral:lncRNA from 1 species
CAGUUUCAAUUACCCAGAGCAGAACUUUAUAAAUAUUUGCAAAUUACACCCUACCCAUUUUCACACGAACAGUGGCAACCCUUGAGAGUGCUCUCCCCAGAUCAGAGGGAUGUUGGCAGAGGGAAUUCUGAAGGUUAAGAAUUCAGGAGAUAUUUCAAAAUCCUCUUCUUAAUUAGAAGAAGCAAAGCCUCCUCUGCUGUGCAUAGACGGGCACAAGAGCUACAGAUAGAAAUUAAAGAGGGUCAUCAGAGAGAAACUCUGCCAGAGCGUUCGCGUCGCAACACAUACCAUGAAAGAAAUCCCAACAGGAAGAGAUUCCACCCCUGCCCAGCCUUCACUAUCCAGUGGGGACACCACAAUUGCACUUAUAAUCAGAGUAAAAAGGACCCAUUCAUAUAUACUUGUCUUGUGAGAAGAGACUGUUUUGGAAAUGAGUGCCUUUGUAUACAAGGAAGAUUUCUUUGGGCUGGGGGCAUCUCAUUUUCCUUGCUGGGGCCGAAAGAAACCUAAGGAUCAUAAUUGCUGCCAUGCUAAAACGCAUCAAGUCAUGAUAGCUGUAGAGACAGCAACCCACCCCAGAUAAUCUGAUAAAAAUAGCUAAGAUACAUUGGGAAUGGAAUCCAUCACCACCUCGGUGAAGCCGCAGGAAUGUCUUUCCAUUGUAAAUGUGCUCCAUACGACAAUGCCAGCUCUCACAGGAGCGAUAGUAAACCAUAAAUCAUGCUAACUAGUAACAGAACCCACCAAACAAUGCAAAAUGCCUAUAAAUUGAGGCUUGACUCUACAUUCAGAGAGCUGUGUCUAAACUUGGAGCAUUUGGGAGGGUGGCUGGAGGCAAGAGCCAAGUCUCUGCUCAGAUCCUGGGAGGAGGACUUAAAGCUGGGACACUACCUAUCAGGAGCCCACAAAGAGCCUUGCUAAUGGCAGCUGCCCCUGGAGCACCAGCUCAGUGAGUUAAGCAACGGACCGGAGCUCGCCUGGCUGCGGUGCGGACCAAGGCUGGGCCUGCCAGGCCUCCUGCCCUGCUACAAACUGUGUCACCUGCUCAUGAGGCCUGUAACACGGCUCCUCAGACUGAAGUUUUCGCCUGGAGCUGCAUUGGAUGACGUAAAAGCCUGACCUUGCCAAAACCCUCGAUGCCACCUAGCUCCACAGCCUCAGUGAGCACCUAAAACAACCACUGCCUCCUCCCAGCUCAUUCAGCUUCACCAUGCAUGCAGCACAAAGAAAAUAUAAGUAAAUAAAAAAAUCUUUUGGGAGCUUGAGAUGCUCA